rnacentral:guide_RNA from 1 species
AAAUUAACAAAUAAAUCAUUGACGAGUGAGUGAUGUGUAA